UUUUCCUGGUUUCUCUUCAGAUCAUAUAAAUCUUUUGUCUUUUACUAAAGAUUUCCGGGGAGAGGAACAUUUAUAAAUUUCUACCUACUUUUUUUUUCCUCCAG
rnacentral:snRNA from 1 species